rnacentral:ncRNA from 2 species
UAAUAAGUUUAGGGGAGCACAUAAUAAUGGGCUGAGAGUGGAAUGAUAUUCCUUACCCUCAUAACCUGAUUUGGGUAAUACCGACGUAGGGAGAAGAAUUAUAGAUUUU